rnacentral:rRNA from 1 species
GUGAGGAAUUUUCCGCAAUGGGCGAAAGCCUGACGGAGCAAUGCCGCGUGAAGGAUGAAGGCCUAUGGGUUGUAAACUUCUUUUCUUAGAGAAGUAUAUUGACGGUAUCUGAGGAAUAAGCAUCGGCUAACUCUGUGCCAGCAGCCGCGGUAAGACAGAGGAUGCAAGCGUUAUCCGGAAUGAUUGGGCGUAAAGCGUCUGUAGGUGGCUUCAAAAGUCUCCUGUCAAAGAUCAGGGCUUAACCCUGGGCCGGCAGGAGAAACUCUGAGGCUAGAGUUUGGUAGGGGCAGAGGGAAUUCCCGGUGGAGCGGUGAAAUGCGUAGAGAUCGGGAGGAACACCAAAGGCGAAAGCACUCUGCUGGGCCACAACUGACACUGAGAGACGAAAGCGAGGGGAGCAAAAGGGAUUAGAAACCCGAGUAGUCC